UGAAAUGAUGGGGUACAACGAUAUGUUGUGAAAUGAUGGGGUACAACGUUAUGUUGUGAAAUGAUGGGGCACAACGGCAUGUUGUGAAAUCCCCCCUUUUUAUUUAACUGAACAACGGUUUCAAAGUUUUGGUCGGUUUUAAAUCCAAAACUCAUUAUAGCGUAGGUCACUACACAGUCUUUUAAAGACAUAUUCACUGACGUUGACUGAACUGUCAGCCCUCCGCAUGGCGGCUCAUAUGGCCUUUUAAAAGUGCACUGCGCUGUAACCCGCCUUGGAUUGAGUCCACGAUUUGGGACCUGCCUUUAUAAAUUGAAGUUGAUCACUUAAGAAACACUGAGUUACACCCCCUUUUGCCCUCAGAACAGCCUCAAUUCGUCGGGACAUGGGCUCUACAAGGUGUCGAGUCUUCCACGGGGAUGCUGGUCCAUGUUGACUCCAAUGCUUUCCACAGUUGUGUCAAGUUGGCUGGAUGUCCUUUGGGUGGUGGACCAUUCUUGAUACACACAUGAAAAACCAGGCUGCAUUGCAGUUUUUGAUACAAACCAGUGCGUCUGACUAGGGCUGUGGCAGUUAUAUUCUGUCAGGGUUAAGGUCAUGUGUUGGGGACCUAAGGGCUGUGGCAGUUAUAUUCUGUCAGGGUUAAGGUCAUGUGUUGGGGACCUAAGGGCUGUGGCAGUUAUAUUCUGUCAGGGUUAAGGUCAUGUGUUGGGGACCUAAGGGCUGUGGCAGUUAUAUUCUGUCAGGGUUAAGGUCAUGUGUAGGGGACCUAAGGGCUGUGGCAGUUAUAUUCUGUCAGGGUUAAGGUCAUGUGUUGGGGACCUAAGGGCUGUGGCAGUUAUAUUCUGUCAGCUGGUUAUUGUCAAGCAGAAGACUGCCCGUCUCACGGUAAUGGACCGUUAAUGAACAUAAACAUGUUGAUCAUCUCCAGGCCUCCAUUCAAGCUGAUGAUGCACCUUUGGAACAUCUACAUUUUAAAGUCUAAUAAAUCACCUGAUUAAACACCA